GAUUGGAUUAGGCAUGCAAGUCGAGCGGAAAUGAGGGUAGCUUGCUGAGACCAUGAUUCAGCGGCGGACGGGUGAGUAAUGCCUAGGAAUCUGCCUAUUAGUGGGGGACAACUCGGGGAAACUGGACGCUAAUACCGCAUACGUCCUACGGGAGAAAGCAGGGGACCUUCGGGUCCUUCGCGCUAAUGGAUGAGCCUAAGUCGGAUUAGCUAGUUGGUGAGGUAAUGGCCCACCAAGGCGACGAUCCGUAACUGGUCUGAGAGGACGAUCAGUCACACUGGGACUGAGACACGGUCCAGACUCCUACGGGAGGCAGCAGUGGGGAAUAUUGGACAAUGGGCGAAAGCCUGAUCCAGCCAUGCCGCGUGUGUGAAGAAGGUCUUCGGAUUGUAAGCCGCUUUAAGUUGGGAGGAAGGGCACUAAGUAGAGGGGUUUUAAUCUCU
rnacentral:rRNA from 1 species